rfam:Salmo salar isolate Sally breed double haploid chromosome ssa26, whole genome shotgun sequence.
UUUUUACCAAUUUGUAAGUCGCUCUGGAUAAGAGGGUCUGCUAAAUGAAUUAAA